GGUGGCUCAGUGGUAGAGUGCUUGCCUUGGCAUGCAUGAGGCCCGGGGUUCGAUUCCUCAGCACCA
rnacentral:tRNA from 1 species